CGGGAAAUGGCUCAGUUUGGUAGAGCACUGCGUUCGGGACGCAGAGGCCGCAAGUUCAAAUCUUGUUUUCCCGA
rnacentral:tRNA from 1 species